rnacentral:rRNA from 1 species
CUCGAGUGCCAGGUUACAAAUCUGGCUGUCGAGAUGCCUAAAAAGCAUUUCAUAGCAAGGGCCGGGCAAGACCGGUGCCAGCCGCCGCGGUAACACCGGCGGCUCGAGUGGUAACCGUUAUUAUUGGGUCUAAAGGGUCUGUAGCCGGCCGGAUAAGUCUCUUGAGAAAUCUGGCAGCUUAACUGUCAGGCUUUCAGGAGAUACUGUCUGGCUCGAGGCCGGGAGAGGUGAGAGGUACUUCAGGGGUAGGGGUGAAAUCUUGUAAUCCUUGAAGGACCACCAGUGGCGAAGGCGUCUCACCAGAACGGACCUGACGGCAAGGGACGAAAGCUAGGGGCACGAACCGGAUUAGAUACCCGGGUAGUCCUAGCCGUAAACGAUACUCGCUAGGUGUCGGCCACGGUGCGACCGUUGUCGGUGCCGUAGGGAAGCCGUGAAGCGAGC